rnacentral:rRNA from 1 species
GACGAACGCUGGCGGCGUGCCUAAUACAUGCAAGUUGAGCGCUGAAGGUUGGUACUUGUACCAACUGGAUGAGCAGCGAACGGGUGAGUAACGCGUGGGGAAUCUGCCUUUGAGCGGGGGACAACAUUUGGAAACGAAUGCUAAUACCGCAUAAAAACUUUAAACACAAGAUUUAAGUUUGAAAGAUGCAAUUGCAUCACUCAAAGAUGAUCCCGCGUUGUAUUAGCUAGUUGGUGAGGUAAAGGCUCACCAAGGCGAUGAUACAUAGCCGACCUGAGAGGGUGGUCGGCCACAUUGGGACUGAGACACGGCCCAAAAUCCUACGGGAGGCAGCAGUAGGGAAACUUCGGCAAUGGACGAAAGUCUGACCGAGCAACGCCGCGUGAGUGAAGAAGGUUUUCGGAUCGUAAAACUCUGUUGGUAGAGAAGAACGUUGGUGAGAGUAGAAAGCUCAUCAAGUGACGGUAACUACCCAGAAAGGGACGGCUAACUACGUG